rnacentral:rRNA from 1 species
AUGUGUUGUUCCAAGGGAUUUUUGAAUGGGCUGCCAACACCAGGAACAUGUCCUUCCUGCAGCCCGUAUUCAUUCUUUUCUUUUUCCAGCAUAAGAUGCGAUCGAUGCACCACGCGCAUGUCUUUGACAAAACGCUUUAGGAGCGAUGGUGUUCACGUGCAUGUGAUGGAGACCGGGAAUAUUUUGUUUCUCGCAUCAACUGGACGGAUCGAUGCGUCUCGGCAAGUUCUUUCCUCCUCAUCGCUAUCCAUCAUCUUUUGGACUUCCAUUUCUCCUUUUUUUAUAUUAUUUAUUUAUUUCGAAAAGGAGAAAGUGCCACCGGCGUCUGCGUUCCAGAAACUGCUAGUAGUACAAACAUCGCAUCGCAUCUCCUCGUUUGGAGAUGUAUACCGUUCUAAUUGA